UACGAAGGUGGCAAGCGUUACUCGGAAUUACUAGGCGUAAAGGGCAGGUAGGUGGUUCGAUAAGUCUGUUGUGAAAGCUCCCGGCUCAACUGGGAGAGGCCAACAGAAACUAUCGGGCUUGAGUAUGGGAGAGGUUACUGGAAUUCCCGGUGUAGCGGUGAAAUGCGCAGAGAUCGGGAGGAACACCAAUGGCGAAAGCAGGUAACUGGACCAUUACUGACACUCAACUGCGAAAGCUAGGGGAG
rnacentral:rRNA from 1 species